rnacentral:rRNA from 1 species
AUGGAGCUCUUGGAUGACCAAGGCGCAGCCCCAGCAGACCAGGAGUGUUGUGUCCUGUCAACGCAAGCGGUCUCAGGCACGGAGACGCCGCGCACAAUCCGUCUUCGCGCACUAGUGGGAAAUCAAGUGAUGCUCCUCCUUGUCAACUCCGGCAGUACACACAGUUUCAUCUCGGCAUCUUUCGCCGAGAGGAUUGCAGCGACAACAACACCCCUGCCGCCGGUGGACGUUCGCGUGGCCAACGGUGAGCGUCUGGUCUGCGACAAGCUGGUGCCCGGAGUUAAAUGGUGGCUGCAGGGGCACACCUUCACUACGGAUAUGCGCCAGCUCACGCUCGGGGCGUACGACGGCGUGUUAGGCAUGGACUGGUUGGAACAGUUAAGCCCAAUGAGCUGCCAUUGGCUCAACAAGACGCUCACAUUCGAGCAUGAAGGCGCCACAAUCACUCUGCAAGGUGUCCGACAGAGUGCAGUUCAGUCCUUGGAGCCAAUUGAACCAGAACAGUUCAACAAAUGGCAAGCAGGAAAUGACAUAUGGUACAUGGCACUCAUUGAUCGCCAGCCACCCUCUAGUGACACCGUUAGCAAGCUGCCAGUGGGUAUUCAGACGGUCCUCAAUGAGUACAGCGACGUGUUUGGAGAACCAAAGAAACUGCCACCACACCGUCAAUAUGAUCAUGCCAUUACAUUGGUGGAAGGAGCACAACCAGCAAUAUGACCCUACCGAUACUCGCCAUUGCAGAAAGAUGAGAUCGAGCGGCAAGUCAGAGAAAUGCUUGACUCCGGGGUGAUCGCGCACAGCAUGAGC